rnacentral:rRNA from 1 species
UACGGAGGAUGCGAGCGUUAUCCGGAUUUAUUGGGUUUAAAGGGUGCGUAGGCGGGCUGUUAAGUCAGCGGUAAAAGCCCGGGGCUCAACCCCGGCGAGCCGUUGAAACUGGCUGUCUUGAGAUGUCGAGAGGUAUGCGGAAUGCGCAGUGUAGCGGUAAAAUGCGUAGAUAUAUGGAAGAACACCAGUGGCGAAGGCGGCCGCCUGGCCUGUUACUGACGCUGAGGCACGAAAGCGUGGGGAGCAAAUAGG